rnacentral:rRNA from 1 species
GACGAACGCUGGCGGCGUGCUUAACACAUGCAAGUCGAGCGGUAAGGCCCUUUCGGGGGUACGACGAGCGGCGAACGGGUGAGUAACACGUGGGUGACCUGCCCUCAGCUCUGGGAGUAAGCCUGGGAAACCGGGUCUAAUACCGGAUAUGACUCCACGGCGCAUGUUGUGGGGUGGAAAGCCUUGUGUGGCUAGAGAUGGGCCCGCGGCCUAUCAGCUUGUUGGUGGGGUGAUGGCCUACCAAGGCGGCGACGGGUAGCCGGCCUGAGAGGGCGACCGGCCACACUGGGACUGAGACACGGCCCAGACUCCUACGGGAGGCAGCAGUGGGGAAUCUUGCGCAAUGGGCGAAAGCCUGACGCAGCGACGCCGCGUGAGGGAUGACGCCU